rnacentral:rRNA from 1 species
CACUCCUACGGGAGGCAGCAGUGGGGAAUUUUGGACAAUGGGCGAAAGCCUGAUCCAGCCAUGCCGCGUGCAGGAUGAAGGCCUUCGGGUUGUAAACUGCUUUUGUACGGAACGAAACGGCCUUUUCUAAUAAAGAGGGCUAAUGACGGUACCGUAAGAAUAAGCACCGGCUAACUACGUGCCAGCAGCCGCGGUAAUACGUAGGGUGCAAGCGUUAAUCGGAAUUACUGGGCGUAAAGCGUGCGCAGGCGGUUAUGUAAGACAGUUGUGAAAUCCCCGGGCUCAACCUGGGAACUGCAUCUGUGACUGCAUAGCUAGAGUACGGUAGAGGGGGAUGGAAUUCCGCGUGUAGCAGUGAAAUGCGUAGGUAUGCGGAGGAACACCGAUGGCGAAGGCAAUCCCCUGGACCUGUACUGACGCUCAUGCACGAAAGCGUGGGGAGCAAACAGGAUUAGAUACCCGAGUAGUCCCAUGA